rnacentral:rRNA from 1 species
GUAAUAGCUCACUGGUCGAGUCGGCCUGCGCGGAAGAUGUAACGGGGCUAAACCAUGCACCGAAGCUGCGGCAGCGACGCUUAUGCGUUGUUGGGUAGGGGAGCGUUCUGUAAGCCUGUGAAGGUGUGCUGUGAGGCAUGCUGGAGGUAUCAGAAGUGCGAAUGCUGACAUAAGUAACGAUAAAGCGGGUGAAAAGCCCGCUCGCCGGAAGACCAAGGGUUCCUGUCCAACGUUAAUCGGGGCAGGGUGAGUCGACCCCUAAGG